UGAGGAAUAUUGGUCAAUGGGUGCAAGCCUGAACCAGCCAUCCCGCGUGAAGGACGACUGCCCUAUGGGUUGUAAACUUCUUUUGUAUAGGGAUAAACCUACCCUCGUGAGGGUAGCUGAAGGUACUAUACGAAUAAGCACCGGCUAACUCCGUGCCAGCAGCCGCGGUAAUACGGAGGGUGCAAGCGUUAUCCGGAUUUAUUGGGUUUAAAGGGUCCGUAGGCGGACUUAUAAGUCAGUGGUGAAAGCCUGUCGCUUAACGAUAGAACUGCCAUUGAUACUGUAAGUCUUAAGUAUAUUUGAGGUAGCUGGAAUAAGUAGUGUAGCGGUGAAAUGCAUAGAUAUUACUUAGAACACCAAUUGCGAAGGCAGGUUACCAAGAUAUAACUGACGCUGAGGGACGAAAGCGUGGGGAGCGAACA
rnacentral:rRNA from 1 species